UUCAAGAAUAAUAUAAAAUAACCGUGACUUGACCGAAAAACCAAAAAAAAUAAAUGACCAAGGCACCAGCAUGUCAGGAUGGCCGAGCGGUCUAAGGCGCUGCGUUCAGGUCGCAGUCUCCACUGGAGGCGUGGGUUCGAAUCCCACUUCUGACAGGAAUCUGUUUUCUCGUGACCAUUGUGGGAUUGAUCAAAGGUUUUGUCGAUCGACCAAUGUCUUCGAGAACCAAAACUUGAGCAAGAGACCAAAAAAAAAUAAAUGACCAAGGCACCAGCAUGUCAGGAUGGCCGAGCGGUCUAAGGCGCUGCGUUCAGGUCGCAGUCUCCACUGGAGGCGUGGGUUCGAAUCCCACUU